ACUUGAAGAGGGUGGAACACUGGUAGCUUGAGUCUUGCAUCUCAAGAACAAGAGAAAGGGAUGAUAUUCAUCUUAUUUAUGUUUCAGGCUAUACAAAUCCUGUAAGCCUGGUGCUGCUUGUGGGGUUAUCUUUUCCUUCACAUGAGAAAAGUUUUGCUGAGAAUGAAGAAACAGAGGGAAGGACAAUUCCUGUUGACAUCUCAUAAGUGCUUGAUCCAACCAUGCCUGAAAUCAAUUUCUGAGAAUACAAAGCUGGAGGGGUGGAGAAACAGAGGGUCCGGUGUCUACACCUCCAGAGGUUUCUCUGCCAGGAAGGUUUCCCCCCUAAAACACGCGAUCCUCAUUGGAGGAAGAUUUUGAUGUUGCUUUGUUGCUGGUGACAAAUGCCGACUUACAUCACCGGGAUGGGGGCGCCCUCGUAGAGGGUAUCGGGAUUCCGUGGUUUAGGAGCCAGCCUUUCUUUUCCACCUGGCACAACGCUGGAAUUUCAAAGGCGUACUGAUCAGUGGCUGAGGAGGGAAAGCUGCGGCCAAGGCUAUUUUUUAACUGGAACAUGCCCCGUGCUGUGCCACACUCAUCCAGGGGCGGCGGAAGAUUGAUGGCUGGACAUGUGGAGGGAACUGCCACUGAUUGAAAUCAGACAACUGCAAGCUGUGAGGGGGGGCCAGGGGAAACCAUGCUAACCACAGCCGGCCGGUCUUAGCACAUUUGAACAGGGGUUUUCCUCCGCCUGCCUGCCGUCUGCACCCCGGAGCUCAGAGCGGCUGGGCAACAGGAGGUCAAGGGCAGAAUGAGGGGCUGUGACGGCCUCCAGGUUCCACAGCCUCCUGUGCUCCUGUGUCUCUACCUCCCCUGCUCCUUCUUCUUCUUCCCUUUUUUUUUUUUUUUUNNNNNNNNNNNNNNNNNNNNNNNNNNNNNNNNNNNNNNNNNUUGCUUUGUUUCCUGCAUCUUCUUACAAAUCCCACCAGCGAUCAUCGGAGCCCUCCCUGCCCAUUACCCAUCACAGGCCUUAGGGCUCCGUAGGAAAAAGGAGCAAUCCACUUUCAGGAGCAGAGAGAAGAGAUAAAAAUGAUAUACACCUCCCCACCCCACCCCCUCCCCGUUUCCCUGGCCUGCAUCCUUGAUGCUACCGCGCAGGAUUCUUUGAUUUGCUUGUCAAUGGACAGGGGCUGGAAGGAAGAGUCCUGGGAAAUUGUGGGGGCUUGACUUAGUGCCCAUCACCAGGAGCACAGCCAGAGUUCAGGGCUGUUAACAAUUGUGCAGCUAUGCACUUGAACUGAGGCAUUUUUAUUUCAUUAGGGGUGUCAGUUUACAGCCAUUAGCUAAGCAGAUUGGCCAGGACCAAAAGGCUUUUUUUUUUUUUUUCUGUGCCUUAUCACCAGAUCUCUUCCAUUAUUCAGCUUUUUAAAAAAGAGACAAAGGGAGGGAGAGCAGCUUUAAACACAUUAUGUUUUGUGACUUGUCUCUAUCCUCUGGCCCCAACAGCCUAAAAUAGGUUUUAUUAGAAAUCAUUAUUUAAAUUUCUGCCCAGGACCCUAUGGAUCUACCAUGUAUAAUGGUUCCCAGAUCAUGGAAAGUAACAGAGAGGGUCUCCAAUGGGCCGACAUAAUGUCAGUGACAAUUCAUUUUUUUUGCCAGUUAGGAUGCUGGUUUAAUAUCCUGAAAAAGGCACUUAACACCACCCUUUCAUAACAUCUGUCAGGGCCCCGGCCAGUGGCCUGUUUCUCACACUGUGAGUCCUCAGGCCGUUUGGGGGCCUUUCUCUGAAACAGGCUUCUCUCAGAGGCCUCGGAAUUCCUCAGACAUUCAGCCACCCCCAGGCCCCCCGGGCCCAACACUCGCAGACCAGCUGUUACAACUUUCCAGGACACUCCUAAAUUUUCUAAAUGUGUGCCACAUAAAAAUAAAAUUUAGGACGGUGUGUGUUCAGGAUCUUUGUCUAUAGGAGUGUAACUCAUCCCCUGUCGGGGACCCAUUAUUUCCACAUUCUUCUACCGCACUUGAAGCUUCGUCUUGGCCCUCAGAACAGCUUAGCGGGAAUCUCAAGACUUAAGAUUUGGGUCAACAGAUCAUUUUUUCCCCUUUUCUCUCUUACCAUUUUUUUUUUUUUUUAAGGCCCCCAUUUUUAUUUUAUUUAUUUAUUUAUUUAUUUUUUACAAUGCUCACAUGUCAAAAGAAAAUUGUACUCUACACUGGGAUUCGCCAACUGUUAAAAUUAUCUCAUUGGCUGUAAUUUGCUCCCUCUCACACUGUUCUCUAUAUUCACACACUCUCACACAUACCAACACACUCUCAUGUAGAAUCACAUGCACACACAUAAACACUGACAUGCUUUUUUUCUGGACCAUUUGAACCUAAGUUGCAGACACCCUGACACUUCAUCUCUAAGUAUGUCAGGGAGCAUUUCCUAAGAACCGCAUAGCAAUACCUUAUCACAGCUAAGAAAAUUAACAACAGUUUCAUGCUGGAAUGACUCUACUAGCCAUUCCAUAGUCACACAUCCCCAGUUACCACAAAUAGACUUUUCUAGCUAUUUUCCUUUUAAUCCAAGAUCCAUUCAGGAGUCACACAUUGCAUCAGGUUGGUUUUCGUGUUGUUUUCUAUGAUGGCUUUUUUUAAGGCCAGGUCAGUUGUCUUUUAGAAUAUUCUUUCAUAUUUUUGAUAAACUUUGUUAC
rnacentral:lncRNA from 1 species